GACUGAUAUAAGGAAGAGCACGAUUAAAAGUCUUUCACAAGAAAAUGAUGAUCUUCGGGAACAGGUCAAGAAAUUGGAUGAACAAAGGAAGGAAACUGAUAGAAAAUAUCAGGAUGAAGAACGCAAACUACAGCAAACCAUUCAGAUGCAACAGAAGAAAUUGGCGAUGUACAAUUCUUCCAAAAAGACAGAGCAGAGUCACGUGGUGAAAGAAACAAAGUACCAACUUGAUAAUACUGAAAACAACUAAGGGAAACUGAAAAAGAACUGAGGAAAACAAAAGACGAGCUUAAAGAUACGCAUAAUAGGCUGAGUAAAACAUUUUCGGACAAUUUGACAGAUAAUAAUCCGCAGGUUACAGAUUUAAGCGACCAAGACCGACCAACAAAACUUGCCGAAAGAUUUCAAGAACUAUACGAUAAUCAAUGGACAGAUGCAUUUGACAGUAUAGAUAAGUUAUACAAAGGAAGUGAAGAAAACACAAUUGAAAAAAAUACUGAACAUUUUAUUGGAUGCUUAUCGUUUCUGUGAAAAAGAGGCAAAUCGACAGAGAAAGGAUAUACAAAUGGCAGUCACACAGGGUUCUACGAAUGAAAAUAGCUUGCCUUCGUCAGUAAAGAAACUGAUAAAAGACUUUCAGCGAAAUGUAGCAGUAUUUUCUGGCAAACAGUUAUAUCAGGUAUAACA